ACGGAGGAUCCAAGCGUUAUCCGGAAUCAUUGGGUUUAAAGGGUCCGUAGGCGGUCAGAUAAGUCAGUGGUGAAAGCCCAUCGCUCAACGGUGGAACGGCCAUUGAUACUGUCUGACUUGAAUUAUUAGGAAGUAACUAGAAUAUGUAGUGUAGCGGUGAAAUGCUUAGAGAUUACAUGGAAUACCAAUUGCGAAGGCAGGUUACUACUAAUAUAUUGACGCUGAUGGACGAAAGCGUGGGUAGCGAACAGG
rnacentral:rRNA from 1 species